GUGGGGAAUCUUGCGCAAUGGGCGAAAGCCUGACGCAGCCAUGCCGCGUGGAUGAUGAAGGUCUUAGGAUUGUAAAAUCCUUUCACCGGUGAAGAUAAUGACUGUAGCCGGAGAAGAAGCCCCGGCUAACUUCGUGCCAGCAGCCGCGGUAAUACGAAGGGGGCUAGCGUUGCUCGGAUUUACUGGGCGUAAAGGGCGCGUAGGCGGACAUUUAAGUCAGGGGUGAAAUCCCGGGGCUCAACCUCGGAACUGCCUUUGAUACUGGGUGUCUUGAGUAUGGGAGAGGUGUGUGGAACUCCGAGUGUAGAGGUGAAAUUCGUAGAUAUUCGGAAGAACACCAGUGGCGAAGGCGACACACUGGCUCAUUACUGACGCUGAGGCACGAAAGCGUGGGGAGCAAACAGGAUUAGAAACCCUAGUAGUCC
rnacentral:rRNA from 1 species